AGUUGUAUCCUGGCUCAGGAUGAACGCUAGCGGUAUGCCUAACACAUGCAAGUCGUACGAGGGUUUCAUACCCAAGUGGCGGACGGGUGAGUAACACGUGAGAAUUUGCCCUAAGGAGGGGGAUAACAACUGGAAACGGUUGCUAAAACCCCAUAUGCUUCCGAGUGAAAUAGAUUUAUCUGCCUUAGGAGAAGCUCGCGGCUGAUUAGCUAGUUGGUAAGGUAAUGGCUUACCAAGGCGACGAUCAGUAUCUGGUUUGAGAGGACGAUCAGACACACUGGAACUGAGACACGGUCCAGACUCCUACGGGAGGCAGCAGUGGGGAAUUUUCCGCAAUGGGCGAAAGCCUGACGGAGCAAUACCGCGUGAAGGAAGACGGCCUAUGGGUUGUAAACUUCUUUUUUCAGGGAGGAACUCAAUGACGUGUACCUGAAGAAUAAGCAUCGGCUAACUCCGUGCCAGCAGCCGCGGUAAGACGGAGGAUGCAAGUGUUAUCCGGAAUCACUGGGCGUAAAGCGUCUGUAGGUGGUUUAAUAAGUCGACUGUUAAAUCUUGAGGCUUAACCUCAAAAUCGCAUUCGAAACUAUUAGACUUGAGUAUAGUAGAGGUAAAGGGAAUUUCCAGUGGAGCGGUGAAAUGCGUAGAUAUUGGAAAGAACACCGAUGGCGAAGGCACUUUACUGGGCUAUUACUGACACUCAGAGACGAAAGCUAGGGUAGCAAAUGGGAUUAGAUACCCCAGUAGUCCUAGCCGUAAACAAUGGAUACUAGAUGUUGGACAGAUCGACCUGUGCAGUAUCAAAGCUAACGCGUUAAGUAUNCCGCCCGG
rnacentral:rRNA from 1 species